GUAGGUGGCAAGCGUUGUCCGGAAUUAUUGGGCGUAAAGCGCGCGCAGGUGGUUCUUUAAGUCUGAUGUGAAAGCCCCCGGGCUCAACCGGGGAGGGUCAUUGGAAACUGGGGAACUUGAGUGCAGGAGAGGAAGGUGGAACUCCACGUGUAGCGGUGAAAUGCGUAGAUAUGUGGAGGAACACCAGUGGCGAAGGCGACUUUCUGGCCUGUAACUGACACUGAGGCGCGAAAGCGUGGGGAGCAAACAGGAUUAGAUACCCUGGUAGUCCACGCCGUAAACGAUGAGUGCUAAGUGUUGGGGGGUUUCCGCCCCUCAGUGCUGCAGCUAACGCAUUAAGCACUCCGCCUGGGGAGUACGGUCGCAAAGACUG
rnacentral:rRNA from 1 species